rnacentral:rRNA from 1 species
CUGCUGUUAAAAAGUGGAGCUUAACUCCAUCGUGGCAGUGGAAACUGUUGGGCUAGAGUGUGGUAGGGGCAGAGGGAAUUCCCGGUGUAGCGGUGAAAUGCGUAGAUAUCGGGAAGAACACCAGUGGCGAAGGCGCUCUGCUGGGCCAUAACUGACGCUCAUGGACGAAAGCCAGGGGAGCGAAAGGGAUUAGAUACCCCUGUAGUCCUGGCCGUAAACGAUGAACACUAGGUGUCGGGGGAAUCGACCCCCUCGGUGUCGUAGCCAACGCGUUAAGUGUUCCGCCUGGGGAGUACGCACGCAAGUGUGAAACUCAAAGGAAUUGACGGGGGCCCGCACAAGCGGUGGAGUAUGUGGUUUAAUUCGAUGCAACGCGAAGAACCUUACCAGGGUUUGACAUCCUGCGAAUCUCCUGGAAACGGGAGAGUGCCUUCGGGAACGCAGUGACAGGUGGUGCAUGGCUGUCGUCAGCUCGUGUCGUGAGAUGUUGGGUUAAGUCCCGCAACGAGCGCAACCCACGUCUUUAGUUGCCAGCAUUCAGUUGGGCACUCUAGAGAGACCGCCGGUGAUAAACCGGAGGAAGGUGUGGAUGACGUCAAGUCAUCAUGCCCCUUACAUCCUGGGCUACACACGUACUACAAUGCUACGGACAAAGGGCAGCAAACUCGCGAGAGCUAGCAAAUCCCAUAAACCGUGGCUCAGUUCAGAUCGUAGGCUGCAACUCGCCUACGUGAAGGAGGAAUCGCUAGUAAUCGCAGGUCAGCAUACUGCGGUGAAUACGUUCCCGGGCCUUGUACACACCGCCCGUCACACCAUGGAAGUUGGCCACGCCCGAAGCCGUUACUCCAACCCUUGUGGAGGAGGACGUCGAAGGUGGGGCUGAUGACUGGGGUGAAGUCGUAACAAGGUAGCCGUACCGGAAGGUGCGGCUG